UGGUUUCUCCCCCCCUCUCAUAGGGCCUUCCAUUGUGACCCCCCCCAAGGACAUCUGGAAUGUCAGUGGAGCCCAAGUAUAUUUAAGUUGUGAAGUUAUAGGAAUUCCAACCCCUGUUCUCAUCUGGAAUAAGGUAAAAAGAGGUCACUUUGGAGUUCAAAGAACAGAACUCCUACCUGGAGACCGUGAUAACUUAGCCAUCCAAACACGAGGUGGCCCAGAAAAGCAUGAAGUUACUGGCUGGGUUCUGGUGUCUCCUCUAAGUAAGGAAGAUGCUGGGGAAUAUGAGUGUCACGCAUCAAAUUCCCAAGGACAGGCUACUGCUUCAGCAAAAAUUACAGUGGUUGAUGCCUUACAUGAAAUACCAACCAAAAAAGAGGAAGGUGCUGACCUGUGAAAUCCUGCAGUCUUUAUCUGUAUGCACAGUUUAAAACAGUCAUAGAAAAAAUACAACCACUGUUGUCCAAUAACAAGUUUCUUUUCAUCUAAUCCACUAACCCCUUAUAUUGUAUUCACUAAUGUGCAAACAUACCAUCUGCAUACUAUAAGAUAAAUGAUAAACCAAAUCUACUACAAAAUUUUAUUCUCUAUUUACAAAAAAAAAGUGUCAUUAAACAAAACCUUGCACUUACA